AUGCACGCUGGCGGCGUGCCUCAUACAUGCCAGUCGAGCGAACAGACGAGGAGCUUGCUCCUCUGACGUUAGCGGCGGACGGGUGAGUAACACGUGGAUAACCUACCUAUAAGACUGGGAUAACUUCGGGAAACCGGAGCUAAUACCGGAUAAUAUAUUGAACCGCAUGGUUCAAUAGUGAAAGACGGUUUUGCUGUCACUUAUAGAUGGAUCCGCGCCGCAUUAGCUAGUUGGUAAGGUAACGGCUUACCAAGGCAACGAUGCGUAGCCGACCUGAGAGGGUGAUCGGCCACACUGGAACUGAGACACGGUCCAGACUCCUACGGGAGGCAGCAGUAGGGAAUCUUCCGCAAUGGGCGAAAGCCUGACGGAGCAACGCCGCGUGAGUGAUGAAGGUCUUCGGAUCGUAAAACGCUGUUAUUAGGGAAGAACAAAUGUGUAAGUAACUAUGCACGUCUUGACGGUACCUAAUCAGAAAGCCACGGCUAACUACGU
rnacentral:rRNA from 1 species